CAAGCAGCAUUGAGAAAAUCUUUGGCGACUUCGAAAGAGAGCAACAAUGACUAUCUGUAAGGCCUCCAACGCCUCUCAAGCAACCAAAACCAGCCCCUGUUGUCCCUCCUAGAGCUGCUUCUCCAAGGGCUCCUUCUUCGAGGGCUCCAUCUCCAAGAGCUGCGUCUUUUAUUGAGAAUGUUCGAGGAGAUGGGCUUCAAGGUUGAUCACUCCAGUCCUAUAUAUAAGCGCUUUCGUCUGAAAAUACUUGGCCCAUUUGAAUCCGGAAUAACUAGUACUGGUUCGCCAGCAUCUGGUGGAAAAGGUGAAUUUAACAAAGGCAGAAAGGGAGACAAGGUUGCAAAUGAUAGCCUUCAAAAAGCCCAUCAAACCCUGGAAUUGAUCAAAA